GGUUAAGCGACUAAGCGUACACGGUGGAUGCCCUGGCAGUCAGAGGCGAUGAAGGGCGUGCUAAUCUGCGAUAAGCGCCGGUAAGGUGAUAUGAACCGUUAUAACCGGCGAUACCCGAAUGGGGAAACCCAGUGUGAUUCGUCACACUAUCAUUAACUGAAUCCAUAGGUUAAUGAGGCGAACCGGGGGAACUGAAACAUCUAAGUACCCCGAGGAAAAGAAAUCAACCGAGAUUCCCCCAGUAGCGGCGAGCGAACGGGGAGGAGCCCAGAGCCUGAAUCAGCAUGUGUGUUAGUGGAAGCGUCUGGAAAGGCGCGCGAUACAGGGUGACAGCCCCGUACACAAAAGCGCAUGUGCUGUGAGCUCGAUGAGUAGGGCGGGACACGUGGUAUCCUGUCUGAAUAUGGGGGGACCAUCCUCCAAGGCUAAAUACUCCUGACUGACCGAUAGUGAACCAGUACCGUGAGGGAAAGGCGAAAAGAACCCCGGCGAGGGGAGUGAAAAAGAACCUGAAACCGUGUACGUACAAGCAGUGGGAGCACCCUUCGGGGUGUGACUGCGUACCUUUUGUAUAAUGGGUCAGCGACUUAUAUUCUGUAGCAAGGUUAACCGUAUAGGGGAGCCGGAGGGAAACCGAGUCUUAACCGGGCGUUAAGUUGCAGGGUAUAGACCCGAAACCCGGUGAUCUAGCCAUGGGCAGGUUGAAGGUUGGGUAACACUAACUGGAGGACCGAACCGACUAAUGUUGAAAAAUUAGCGGAUGACCUGUGGCUGGGGGUGAAAGGCCAAUCAAACCGGGAGAUAGCUGGUUCUCCCCGAAAGCUAUUUAGGUAGCGCCUCGUGAAUUCAUCUCCGGGGGUAGAGCACUGUUUCGGCUAGGGGGCCAUCCCGGCUUACCAACCCGAUGCAAACUGCGAAUACCGGAGAAUGUUAUCACGGGAGACACACGGCGGGUGCUAACGUCCGUCGUGAAGAGGGAAACAACCCAGACCGCCAGCUAAGGUCCCAAAGUCAUGGUUAAGUGGGAAACGAUGUGGGAAGGCCCAGACAGCCAGGAUGUUGGCUUAGAAGCAGCCAUCAUUUAAAGAAAGCGUAAUAGCUCACUGGUCGAGUCGGCCUGCGCGGAAGAUGUAACGGGGCUAAACCAUGCACCGAAGCUGCGGCAGCGACGCUGAUGCGUUGUUGGGUAGGGGAGCGUUCUGUAAGCCUGCGAAGGUGACCUGUGAGGGUUGCUGGAGGUAUCAGAAGUGCGAAUGCUGACAUAAGUAACGAUAAAGCGGGUGAAAAGCCCGCUCGCCGGAAGACCAAGGGUUCCUGUCCAACGUUAAUCGGGGCAGGGUGAGUCGACCCCUAAGGCGAGGCCGAAAGGCGUAGUCGAUGGGAAACGGGUUAAUAUUCCCGUACUUGGUGUUACUGCGAAGGGGGGACGGAGAAGGCUAUGUUGGCCGGGCGACGGUUGUCCCGGUUUAAGCGUGUAGGUGUGUGUUCCAGGUAAAUCCGGUUCACUUUAACACUGAGGCGUGACGACGAGGCACUACGGUGCUGAAGCAACAAAUGCCCUGCUUCCAGGAAAAGCCUCUAAGCAUCAGGUAACAUCAAAUCGUACCCCAAACCGACACAGGUGGUCAGGUAGAGAAUACCAAGGCGCUUGAGAGAACUCGGGUGAAGGAACUAGGCAAAAUGGUGCCGUAACUUCGGGAGAAGGCACGCUGACACGUAGGUGAAGUGAUUUACUCAUGGAGCUGAAGUCAGUCGAAGAUACCAGCUGGCUGCAACUGUUUAUUAAAAACACAGCACUGUGCAAACACGAAAGUGGACGUAUACGGUGUGACGCCUGCCCGGUGCCGGAAGGUUAAUUGAUGGGGUCAGCGCAAGCGAAGCUCCUGAUCGAAGCCCCGGUAAACGGCGGCCGUAACUAUAACGGUCCUAAGGUAGCGAAAUUCCUUGUCGGGUAAGUUCCGACCUGCACGAAUGGCGUAAUGAUGGCCAGGCUGUCUCCACCCGAGACUCAGUGAAAUUGAACUCGCUGUGAAGAUGCAGUGUACCCGCGGCAAGACGGAAAGACCCCGUGAACCUUUACUAUAGCUUGACACUGAACAUUGAGCCUUGAUGUGUAGGAUAGGUGGGAGGCUUUGAAGUGUGGACGCCAGUCUGCAUGGAGCCGACCUUGAAAUACCACCCUUUAAUGUUUGAUGUUCUAACGUGGACCCGUAAUCCGGGUUGCGGACAGUGUCUGGUGGGUAGUUUGACUGGGGCGGUCUCCUCCUAAAGAGUAACGGAGGAGCACGAAGGUUGGCUAAUCCUGGUCGGACAUCAGGAGGUUAGUGCAAUGGCAUAAGCCAGCUUGACUGCGAGCGUGACGGCGCGAGCAGGUGCGAAAGCAGGUCAUAGUGAUCCGGUGGUUCUGAAUGGAAGGGCCAUCGCUCAACGGAUAAAAGGUACUCCGGGGAUAACAGGCUGAUACCGCCCAAGAGUUCAUAUCGACGGCGGUGUUUGGCACCUCGAUGUCGGCUCAUCACAUCCUGGGGCUGAAGUAGGUCCCAAGGGUAUGGCUGUUCGCCAUUUAAAGUGGUACGCGAGCUGGGUUUAGAACGUCGUGAGACAGUUCGGUCCCUAUCUGCCGUGGGCGCUGGAGAACUGAGGGGGGCUGCUCCUAGUACGAGAGGACCGGAGUGGACGCAUCACUGGUGUUCGGGUUGUCAUGCCAAUGGCACUGCCCGGUAGCUAAAUGCGGAAGAGAUAAGUGCUGAAAGCAUCUAAGCACGAAACUUGCCCCGAGAUGAGUUCUCCCUGAGACUUAGAGUCUCCUGAAGGAACGUUGAAGACGACGACGUUGAUAGGCCGGGUGUGUAAGCGCAGCGAUGCGUUGAGCUAACCGGUACUAAUGAACCGUGAGGCUUAACCUU
rnacentral:rRNA from 1 species